UCUAACUCUACUCUGGUUUGUUGCCUACAUUCAUUGAAGGUAAUCCUCAAUAUCAGGUAGAGGCUCCUUGUUCCCGCAGCUGAAGCCAUCGGAGGGCGUCUUCAAGGUCAUCUUCUGGCUCGGCUACUUCAAUAGCUGCGUGAACCCGCUCAUCUACCCCUGUUCCAGCCGCGAGUUCAAGCGCGCCUUCCUCCGUCUCCUGCGCUGCCAGUGCCGUCGUCGCCGGCGCCGCCGCCCUCUCUGGCGUGUCUACGGCCACCACUGGCGGGCCUCCACCAGCGGCCUGCGCCAGGAUUGCGCCCCGGGCUCGGGCGACGCGCCCCCCGGAGCGCCGCUGGCCCUCACCGCGCUCCCCGACACCGACCCCGAACCCCCAGGCACGCCCGAGAUACAGGCUCCGGUCGCCAGCCGUCGAAAGCCACCCAGCGCCUUCCGCGAGUGGAGGCUGCUGGGCCCGUUACAGAGACCCACCACCCAGCUGCGCGCCAAAGUCUCCAGCCUGUCGCACAAGA
rnacentral:sRNA from 1 species